rnacentral:miRNA from 1 species
UCAAAACGGAAAAGUCGAAUACGAGCGCGAAAGGCUUGCUGGGAAUCGCUAAAAUAUUUAUUAAUUUUUUAGCGAUUCCCAGCAAGCCUUUCACGCUCGUAUUCGACUUUUCCUCUUUGCUC